CGAGCUAAUACCGCAUACGCCCUACGGGGGAAAGCGGGGGACCUUCGGGCCUCGUGCUAUUAGAUGAGCCUGCGUUGGAUUAGCUAGUUGGUGGGGUAAAGGCCUACCAAGGCGACGAUCCAUAGCUGGUCUGAGAGGAUGAUCAGCCACACCGGGACUGAGACACGGCCCGGACUCCUACGGGAGGCAGCAGUGGGGAAUAUUGCGCAAUGGGCGAAAGCCUGACGCAGCCAUGCCGCGUGUGUGAAGAAGGCCUUCGGGUUGUAAAGCACUUUCAAUUGGGAGGAAAGGUUCACGGUUAAUAACCGUGAGCUUUGACGUUACCUUAGAAGAAGCACCGG
rnacentral:rRNA from 1 species